AUUUGAUUUUGUUAUUCCCCCCAAUUUUCUUGUGGCAUUUGACAUUUUUGAGAACAAUUUCUUUUGCCAUUUCUUUGUUGUUUGGCAUUUCGAUGCUUGACAAUUUUCAACUUUUACAUUUUUGAACAUUUUCAAAGUCACCCUAAUUUGUAACGACGGUGCUUUUAUUUGAAACAUAGGAGUUCUUAUUUUUUUUUUGUACUCCUCGUUUCUUUGAUGCAAUUUGCAGACUUCUUGUUUUUCAUUUUGAUGCUUGAACUCAAAUUGAUAAUUUUUGUGCCCAUUCCCUUUUUUAUUGACAAAAUGUGAUAGAAGUGGAAGGUGGUUGCAUGGUUUCAAGGGUCACCUUGGAAUAAACGGUAGCCAAGGAGUUAUCACACCACAAGGUACUCUUAACUAGGCCUUAGUCCAUGGGUCAAACGAUACUAGCAUGACACAUCCUAGGGUGUUUUAGAAGCAUUCUAAUGAGCAAAGUCUUAAGAAGAAAAAAGUAUCUACAAGGGCCUUAUAUACACUUGUCAUGUUUCCCAAUUAGAUGUUUUCACAAAUAUUUUCCUACAAUGCAACUACAUGCCAUGAUGCAACUAACAUUUAUACAACCUAAUGCAAAUGCUUCUAUCAACUA
rnacentral:misc_RNA from 1 species